rnacentral:rRNA from 1 species
CCUACGGGUGGCAGCAGUGAGGAAUAUUGGUCAAUGGGCGUAAGCCUGAACCAGCCAAGUCGCGUGAGGGAUGAAGGUUCUAUGGAUCGUAAACCUCUUUUAUAAGGGAAUAAAGUGUGGGACGUGUCCUAUUUUGUAUGUACCUUAUGAAUAAGGAUCGGCUAACUCCGUGCCAGCAGCCGCGGUAAUACGGAGGAUCCGAGCGUUAUCCGGAUUUAUUGGGGUUAAAGGGUGCGUAGGCGGCCUUGUAAGUCAGCGGUGAAAGUCUGUGGCUCAACCAUAGAAUUGCCGUUGAAACUGGGGGGCUAGAGUAUGUUUGGGGCAGGCGGAAUGCGUGGGGUAGCGGUGAAAUGCGUAGAUAUCAGGAAGAACCCCGAUGGCGAAGGCAGCCUGCCAAGCCAUGACUGACGCUGAUGCACGAAAGCGUGGGGAGCAAACAGGAUUAGAUACCCCUGUAGUC